AUUGAACGCUGGCGGCAUGCCUUACACAUGCAAGUCGAACGGCAGCACGGGAGCAAUCCUGGUGGCGAGUGGCGAACGGGUGAGUAAUAUAUCGGAACGUGCCCAGUAGUGGGGGAUAGCCCGGCGAAAGCCGGAUUAAUACCGCAUACGACCUGUGGGUGAAAGCGGGGGAUCGCAAGACCUCGCGCUAUUGGAGCGGCCGAUAUCAGAUUAGCUUGUUGGUGGGGUAAAAGCCCACCAAGGCGACGAUCUGUAGCUGGUCUGAGAGGACGACCAGCCACACUGGGACUGAGACACGGCCCAGACUCCUACGGGAGGCAGCAGUGGGGAAUUUUGGACAAUGGGCGCAAGCCUGAUCCAGCAAUGCCGCGUGCAGGAAGAAGGCC
rnacentral:rRNA from 1 species